AACGAACGCUGGCGGCAGGCCUAACACAUGCAAGUCGAACGCUCGUAGCAAUACGAGAGUGGCAGACGGGUGAGUAACACGUGGGAACCUUCCCUAUGGUUCGGAAUAGCCCAGGGAAACUUGGGGUAAUACCGGAUAAGCCCUUCGGGGAAGGAUUUAUCGCCAUUGGAUGGGCCCGGCCGUCGGAUUAGCUAGUUGGUGGGGUAACGGCCCGACCAAGGCGACGAUCCGUAGCUGGUCUGAGAGGANGAUCAGCCACACUGGGACUGAGACACGGCCCAGACUCCUACGGGAGGCAGCAGUGGGGAAUAUUGGACAAUGGGCGGCAAGCCUGAUCCAGCCAUGCCGCGUGAGUGACGAAGG
rnacentral:rRNA from 1 species